ACAGCCUGCCGCAUAACAACAGUGAUGGAAAGAAGGAGCUGAUCCAAGUUGAAGCCCUCAUUUCUCCCGGCUGACACAAAACUGGGCAGAGUGGCUGACACAGCAAAAGGCUGUGCUGCCUUCCAGCGAGACCUGGAGAGUUGGGUGGGGAGAAACGGAAUGAGAAAGAACAAGGGCAGGUGAUCCUGCCCCAGCAGGGGGAUUGGACGAGGUGAUCUUUGGAGGUCCCUUCCAAUUCCUGACAUUCUGUGAUUCUGUGCAAAGUUGGUUCACGGUAGUACUUUUGCUGCUGGGAAAUAGGAGCGCUGAUCUUUGGGUUAAUGCUGAAAACCCACCUACGGCUGUGGUUGGGAAAUUGGUUCACUUGCUCGAUCGGACCCAGAUUUUCAGGAGGAGCUGGAGCUAAUGAAACUGUGUGAGGAAGCUGUGACCUUGAUCCGAUCUAAUCAACAGCUUGAAAAUGACCUCAAUCUCAU